ACGAACGCUGGCGGCAGGCCUAACACAUGCAAGUCGAGCGCUACCUUCGGGUGGAGCGGCGGACGGGUUAGUAACGCGUGGGAAUAUACCCAGUUCUAAGGAAUAGCCACUGGAAACGGUGAGUAAUACCUUAUACGCCCUUCGGGGGAAAGAUUUAUCGGAAUUGGAUUAGCCCGCGUUAGAUUAGAUAGUUGGUGGGGUAAUGGCCUACCAAGUCUACGAUCUAUAGCUGGUUUGAGAGGAUGAUCAGCAACACUGGGACUGAGACACGGCCCAGACUCCUACGGGAGGCAGCAGUGGGGAAUCUUGG
rnacentral:rRNA from 1 species